AUUGAACGCUGGCGGCAUGCCUUACACAUGCAAGUCGAACGGUAACCGGUCUUCGGAUGCUGACGAGUGGCGAACGGGUGAGUAAUACAUCGGAACGUGCCUAGUAGUGGGGGAUAACUACUCGAAAGAAUGGCUAAUACCGCAUGAGAUCUACGGAUGAAAGCAGGGGAUCGCAAGACCUUGGGCUACUAGAGCGGCCGAUGGCAGAUUAGGUUGCUGGUGGGAUAAAAGCUUACCAAUCAGACGAUCUGUAGCUGGUCUGAGAGGCGGAUCAGCCACACUGGGACUGAGACACGGCCCAGACUCCUACGGGAGGCAGCAGUGGGGAAUUUUGGACAAUGGGCGCAAGCCUGAUCCAGCAAUGCCGCGUGCAGGAUGAAGGCCUUCGGGUUGUAAACUGCUUUUGUACGGAACGAAAAGCCCUGGGUUAAUACCCUGGGGUCAUGACGGUACCGUAAGAAUAAGCACCGGCUAACUACGUGCCAGCCGCCGCCGUAA
rnacentral:rRNA from 1 species